UACGGGGGGGGGCAAGCGUUGUUCGGAAUUACUGGGCGUAAAGCGUGCGCAGGCGGUUCGUGAUGUCUGAUGUGAAAGCCCCGGGCUCAACCUGGGAAUUGCAUUGGAAACUAGCGGGCUGGAGUGUGGCAGAGGGGGGUGGAAUUCCGACGUGUAGCAGUGAAAUGCGUAGAGAUGUGGAGGAACACCGAUGGCGAAGGCAGCCCCCUGGGCUAACACUGACGCCUCGAUGCACGAAAGCGUGGGGAGCAAACAGG
rnacentral:rRNA from 1 species